GACGAACGCUGGCGGCGUGCUUAACACAUGCAAGUCGAACGGAAAGGCCCUGCUUUUGUGGGGUGCUCGAGUGGCGAACGGGUGAGUAACACGUGAGUAACCUGCCCUUGACGUUGGGAUAACUUCAGGAAACUGGGGCUAAUACCGGAUAGGAGCUCCUGCUGCAUGGUGGGGGUUGGAAAGUUUCGGCGGUUGGGGAUGGACUCGCGGCUUAUCAGCUUGUUGGUGGGGUAGUGGCUUACCAAGGCUUUGACGGGUAGCCGGCCUGAGAGGGUGACCGGCCACAUUGGGACUGAGAUACGGCCCAGACUCCUACGGGAGGCAGCAGUGGGGAAUAUUGCACAAUGGGCGGAAGCCUGAUGCAGCAACGCCGCGUGCGGGAUGACGGCCUUCGGGCUGUAAACCGCUUUCGCCUGUGACGAAGCGUGAGUGACGGUAAUGGGUAAAGAAGCACCGGCUAACUACGUG
rnacentral:rRNA from 1 species